GAUCAUGGCUCAGAUUGAACGCUGGCGGCAGGCCUAACACAUGCAAGUCGAACGGUAACAGAAAGCAGCUUGCUGCUUUGCUGACGAGUGGCGGACGGGUGAGUAAUGUCUGGGAAACUGCCCGAUGGAGGGGGAUAACUACUGGAAACGGUAGCUAAUACCCAUAACGUCGCAAGACCAAAGAGGGGGACCGUUCGGGCCGUCUUGCCAUCGGAUGUGCCCAGAUGGGAUUAGCUAGUAGGUGGGG
rnacentral:rRNA from 1 species